rnacentral:lncRNA from 1 species
GAUUUUCACCCAAAACUUUAUUUUAACAUAUAAGGACCCAUAAUUAAUGAUUUAUCACGUUUUUAAGGAUAAAACCUUAUCCAAAAAGUGUGGGUGAAGUACAAGAGGUGGAGUGUUGACUUUCCUUUAUUCUAUGACACAAGCAACCACCAUACCUACUCCAUGACUAACCCACACUCCUCCCCACCAUACCUUGUCACUUCCUUGUCCUUUUCACCUCACUCACAAGUCAUUCCCACGUUUUGAGAGCUGGACAUUCAUCCUCUCUCCUCAUUUUCUUCCACUUGCUCUCAUUUCACCAAAAAUACAACACAACUUUUCUCCUAAACUUUUUCUCUCUAUUUCAAGACUCCAAGGCUGAUUUUCAAGCUUUAUUCUUCUCUUGGUAAGUAUAAUUCAUCCUCCUUGUGAUUAUUACACUUGAUUCUACUCAAAUCAUUGAUUGCUUACACAAAUAUCGUCAUAUUUGUUGAUUAGCUCCUCAAAUCUUCAAGCAUCUCCCGAGUGUUCUUGAGUUGAACACUUCUUUUCUCAAUCAUCCAUCUUCUGAAAUCACUCAAGGUGAGUUCAUACCCCUACAUUUUCAUGUUUUCUCAAGUUUUUAGGGGGAGAAUACAAGUUAAAACACCAAGAACAUAACUAAAAUUUUCUAAAAGCUUUCAUCAGAAAAGUUGGACUCCAUUCACGGACUAUUUUGGACAACUUAAACAUUUUAAUUUUCAAAACUGUUUUAGGUUCAAGUAGUUCCACUUCUUAGAUUUAAAAUGACUACUUGCACAUCUCCACACGAUUUUUCUACAAUUUAUGGUGAUUUUUACAAAACAGCCUGUCUUUUCAAACACAAAUCCGGACCAGUCUGUGAAUAUGAGCAUUUUAAUACAAGUUAAAGGCUUCCAAAAAUCAUGAUAAAAAUUAUGAGUAAACUAGACACAUUUUAGGAACUCUCAGAAUUUACGGAUCUAGUUUUUGACUUCGUAUGAUUUUUCUAAAACAGUGCAGAAAGGUUAAGAUUUAGUUAACAGCUUCUAACUUUCAAAACACUUUGUAACAUGUUGAGCAAAGUGUUAAAUCUUUGAUGACUUCAUAUAUUACAUGUAUUUCUUGUAAUGAUAUAUUUAUAUAAUAGGAAAAUUACUUACUGAAUUAAUAAGAAUCCUCCAUCAUAACCAUUAGUACAAAACAAAGCAAGAUAAACAUAGCUAUAUUGUACUAUACAUUUGACUUACAUAGAAAGGGUUCAAAUACACCACAAAUAAACAUACUAAACUAUAAUAAGUAUAGUUAGGUUGCAUGUACAUUUCAAACAUUUUGAUAAACUAUAAUAGGUAUAGUUUAUGAUCAUUACAUUACAAAAGGUUUUCACACGAAUAGGGUACAUUCCAAAGUACCGGGUUUUCACAUAAAUGGGGUACAUUCCAAAGUACCGGGUUUUUAUACAAAAAGGGGUACAAAUACAAAGUACCGGGUUUUUAAUUACAAAAAGGGGUACAGAUACAAAGUACCGGGUUUUAUACAAAAAGGGGUACAGAUACAAAGUACCGGGUUUUCAUAUAAAUGGGGUACAUUCCAAAGUACCGGGUUUUAUACAAAAAGGGGUACAGAUACAAAGUACCGGGUUUUUAACUACAAAUGGGGUACAUUCCAAAGUACCAGGUUCACAUAAAAUAGUUGUUAUGAUAUUAAAACUAUAUUUCAUCUAGAAUUGUUAGACUUCAACUAUAAUCGUUGAGCGUAUAUGCUUGAGUCAUAUAAGAAAUUAGUCUUGAUUGGCUUAGAAUUGGUGGUGCCCGCCUCAUCUCCUGUUCCUCGUUGGGUUGUGGACCUAGGGCAGACCCACUAUAUUCAACGUUUUAUCUAACUUAAAUCUUAUAUAACUUAUAUACGCUGGACGAUUAUAGGGGAAAUCUACGGGUCAUUCUAGGGUUCAUUAACGCAUCAUAUAGGAAUAUUCUGUUCACACUUAACUAAGAAAAUAUUGGAUUUUCUGGAAAUCAAACUCUAUCGAUUUUACAAGGAAAACGGUUUCUACUUCAAACAAAACUCUUAUGAACUCACCAACUUAAUUGUUGACACUUUUUCAAAACUACUUGUAUUCUCAGGAAAUCAGUGAAACAGGAAAACUUCAGCGCUUUGAGGAUGGGACGUUAAACCGUCAACAAUUUAUUUUUGUCAUCAUAAUGUAAUUGAUUUUGGAACAUGUAAACAUAUACUUUGGUGUAACUUUUUCAAUUAUAUUUAUGAUGGUUGUAUUUACUUUGAGCACUAUUAUACACGUUGUUGUGAUACUGUACAUGAAGUCCUCCACCCCCGGACGUUUCCGCCAUCCUUGGUUUGGGGGUGUGACAGAUUGGUAUCAGAGCAUUGUUUAUAGUGAACUCAGUAUAUCGAACCACAUAAGAUAUACAAACUAUAAAUGCAUUGGGACUAAAGUCUCUGAUUUAAAGUUUUCAAAACAACUAUACUUUUAGAAAUAAAUAGUUUCUUAUUAAAAGUAUACAUGCAUGCAUACAUACUAAGGUCAGCAUCAUUCUAGAACAAAACAAAAGUAAUGAUUGUUGGAUAUCACAGGUAAGCUCGGGGAUGUAUGGUCAGUCUUGGGAUUGGCAUAGCCUGAUCAACUAUGCUCGUCCGAGGAGUGAUUAGCACAUGCCCAAGAAUGGUUGUGAUAUGGCAACAAGUCUAAAAACUUACCAACACUACCACAAUGAAAUACCAUAGGGGUAUUUGGUGUUAUUAUAAUUACUUAUCUGAGAACUAAAUAGAUUUUUAUCAAUAGGUCAAUAAUUGCUUAGUGGAUACAUUAAAAUUAUAUGUAUCCAGGACGUCAUAGACUUAGAAUAUGUGGAUCUUUGCUUUACUUCCUGUUCUCGUUGGAUUGGGGAUUUAGAGUUAGGGUCGCUUAUUCGAAGGUCUAUCCUGUCCCAAAUACAUAUGACUGGUAUGCACUAAACAAUGUAUUGAAGUACCUGAUAAAUAUCAUCUUAUAAUUAUCUAAUUAGUACGUCUACUUAGUUAUUUCUUAUAUUCCCAUUUCUCGCGAACAUAUCAUGGCUGGAUUCUAUCCCCACGACGACCUGUACUACCCCAACCACGACAAUACUGAAUGGCUCGGAGACGAGCCAGGGAAUGAUUAUCCAACCCAUGUGGAUGGUCACCAAGCUGAAGGCUUUGCUGAUGGUUCUGACUCCGACCCUGAAGUGGAGAACCUACCCCGAUGGCUCUUGUUCCGAAUCCUAACCCUCGUCCGAUUUUUUUUCAAGGCCCGACGCCUCCUUGGGUAGAGUGCUUGGAAACCUGGAGCGAAGAGCAAGACCAACCCAUGUCGUUUAGUGGAGACCGAAGCUUCUACGACAUAAGCGAAGGAAGCUCUGCAGAUGGAAUUCUUCCAAUCCUGGUCUGUAAAGUUGCCCGAAACGAGAUUUAGGGAAGAACAACUCUCCAUCAUAUCGUAGAGGUCGAUGCAAAUACAAGAAUGCAUAAAAUCCGCAUCAAUCACCUUGAGCACACUCGUGAGAAAUCUGAGAGAGACCUUGAAACCCUGCUGCAAGCACUAGAUGGAACACGAACCGAAGUCAUAAAACUCCGAGUAUGCCCGAGGGUGUACAAAAGGCACAUGCUUGAUAUGGAGCGGCAACUAGCUGAACUGAGGGUUCACCAGAGGGAUGACAGUCGCCAGUAGUAGAUGCCUUACUUUCUUUCCCUGUUAAAAAGAGAGAGAGAGAGAGAGAGAGAGAGAAUUGUUUUUCCUAUCUAUGUCCUAUGUGGCAUUCUCUAUGAAACUAUCUUGUUCUGUAGGUACUUUUGGUUAGGCCUUUUGGCGGCCAAAACUCUCCUGCUCCGGAUGUGAUGUAAGACCCUCUACAAGGUCAAUUUUCCCAAGCCUGUUACAUCUUAAACAUCAAUGACUUUGUCAGUCGGCUAAAUUCUAUGACACUCUUUGUCCAAAUACUUCCAUCAUGCUACCAUAAGAGUAUAUCUGAAACCCACUCUAGUCAAGUUGUUGGACUAGAGUAACUUAGCUCCGGGAUCAUUCCCAAUUCUCUUUCAAAAGUUCGAUCAAAUCUCAAGGUUUCACUUGGAUACAAAACCUACUAAACUCAUGAAAUUCAUUCAUAUGGACAUCCUUUAUGAAUUACAUAUAAGGCAUUCUUAGAUCGGAGCAUACUGCAGAAAAAUCUAAUUCAAUGACAACUGACUUGUCUUUGCUAGUAGGAACUUACCAUCUGAUCAUUAUCUUGCAAAUUUUAUGACAGAACCAUGCCACCGAGGAAAAGACCAAGACCUUCCGGAAACUUAGCACCGCCCCCUCCGCCACCACCUCCGGAGUUUGAUCCUGUGAUGUUUCCGGCUGUAGUAACAGCAGCCGUGGNCCUCCGGAGUUUGAUCCUAUGAUGUUUUAGGCUGCAGUAACAGCAGCCGUGGCGGCAACAAUGUCGCAAAUGGGUACAAAUGGUUCCGGCGGUUUCGGACCGAGAAUACUAACUCGAAUCAGGGGGACAACACGGGGCGUACUAAGGAGUGUUCUUACAAAGACUUCACGAAUGGCAAACCUGAUCCUUUCGACUGAAGCGGGGGCGUCAUUGCGUUGAUGCAUUGGUUUGAAAGGACUGAAGCAGUCUUUGAAAUCUGUGCUUGUCCCGAAGCGAGCAAGGUCAAGUAUGCGACAUUCACCUUCACAAGAAAAGCUCUUACUUGGUGGAACGGUAGAGUUAAGUCGCUUACUCCUGCAGUGGCUAACUCUAUAAGCUGGGAGGAUUUAAAANAGGCGAAGUGCAAAAACUAGAAGAGGAACUCUGGAACCUCAAAAUGUCGGGGACGGAUCUCGAAGCUUAUACUGCCCGAUUCAAUGACCUAGCACUCCUCUGUCCUGCAAUGGUCACCCCAGAGGAGAAAAAGGUAGAACGAUACCUUUGGGGGCUAUCAUCCCAGAUUCAUGAUAGUGUAUUGGCCUCAAGACCAACUACCUUCGACAGCGCCAAGGAGUUGGCACAACAACUCAUCAACCAUCGUGCCAGCCAUGACACUACGACAACCACGCCAAUUUUUGCUGUUCAUGCUGCCACAACCCUCACCACGCCAACUCCCAUGAAACAAUACGCUGGAACCCUUCCGAAAUGCAACAGGUGUAACUUCCAUCACACUUGGGCUUGCCGGAAGAUGCAUUCCAAAAACUGCGACAGAGAGGGGCACACUAUCCGUUUUUGUAAGGCACCCGCAUGACCCAUCAAUCAAGUCCCUGGCUUUGGAGCAAGCCCAGCCUGUUACAAGUGUGGAGAAACGGGACAAUUUAAAAGGGACUGCCCAAGAACAAGAGAUGCCAGGGGUGGUGGAAAGGUGCUUGCGAUCACCGAAGGAGAGACCACCCCGGAACCCGCAAAUAUCAGUACGUGUUUCUAACAUCGACGUUUAAAUUCUAAAUUUCUUUAUAUGUUAAAUCUAGCAUCGAUUAAAGGAUGCAUAGUAGUAAGGCCAAGGAUUAAAAUGAGAGCAUAAACAAUAAGAAAUUCCAAGGCCGACAUGUGACAUCAGGCGGAUUAUUCCUCACCAUAAUCGAUUUCUUGUAUUGCGAAAAGUUUCCCCCAUCUUUCCUCCGAAUUCUUGGAUCCCCAUUCAAAGUGCAAAUUCCGGGACGAACUUCCCUUUAACGGGGUAAUGAUGUGACAAUCGUCAAAUUCUGGUCAAUUCAAAGUCAAAUAAAGUCAACAAGUCAAACCGGUCAACUCAACUAACCCUUGUGUACUAUGGCUUACGUUAUGUAAUUACUAAACAACUCGCUAUUCUAAUGAGAGAUCUUAAAUCGAAAAGUACGUACAUCUAGAUCUCCUUAACCUAAAACUGUGGUAAGUGAUGAACCAAACCGAUAAAACAAUGUUGCAUACUCAUCGGGAGUGUGUAAGAUCCUUAAAAAAGGCUUAACGGGGUUUACGGACCUUGCAUUGCGAAGCCGGACACUCAAAAAGGUCACAAAUGAAACCUCUCUCAAUCGUUUCCACUCUAUCUCUUCUUAUCGAGAGUCUCUCCCAAAUCUCUCUAAGUAUGUGGAAUCUCUCCCAAAUAUCUCUUUGUAUGUGAAAUCUCUCCAAGAAUGUCAAAUCUCUCCCAAAUCUCUCUAAGUAUGUGGAAUCUCUCCCAAAUAUCUCUUUGUAUGUGAAAUCUCUCUAAGAAUGUCAAAUCUCUCCCAAAUCUCUCUAAGUAUGUGGAAUCUGUCCCAAAUAUCUCUUUGUAUGUGAAAUCUCUUCAAGAAUGUCAAAUCUCUCCCAAAUCUCUCUAAGUAUGUGGAAUCUCUCCCAAAUAUCUCUUUGUAUGUGAAAUCUCUCCAACAAUGUCAAAUCUCUCCCAAAUCUCUCUAAGUAUAUGGAAUCUCUCCCAAAUAUCUCUUUGUAUGUGAAAUCUCUCCAAGAAUGUCAAAUCUCUCCCAAAUCUCUCUAAGUAUGUGAAAUCUCUCCCAAAUAUCUCUUUGUAUGUGAAAUCUCUCCCAAAUCUCUCUCAAAAGUUUCCGUAACUUUUUGAAGUCAUUCGGGUCAUUCCGACCCUUAACCGGGUCAAAAACGGCUUAAAACGGGGUAAAAACGAGUAAAAUAGGCUUGAGGACCCGAAACCCCUCUUAAGGACCCGAAACCCCUCUUAGGGCCGAAAGUCCUCUUAGAACCGAAGGUCCCUAUAGGGACCGAACCUGCCAUGAACCGAAGCUGGAAGAGCCGAACCCGAGAGCCUUCUCAGAACCGAACCCGAAGGGUCCUCUCAGGACCGAACCUCGCACACACACACCCGAACCCGAAGGUACUGUUCACUUCGGUCUCCUCGCUUCUGACCCUUCGGACCGAGCCUGACCCUCGCUUGCUGAUCCGCUCCGCUUCGCUUCUCGCCCAGCCUCAGGAGGACCGAAUCUCGGCCAGGACCGAGAGGUCUCGCUGGGAAGCUUCUUUUCUCCCGGUUUUCGAGUAGUUUCGCAUUUUAGCUUCGUUUUUAAUUGUUUUAACGCGAGAUUUUCACCCAAAACUUUAUUUUAACAUAUAAGGACCCAUAUCACGUUUUUAAGGAUAAAACCUUAUCCAAAAAGAGUGGGUGAAGUACAAGAGGUGGAGUGUUGAUUUUCCUUUAUUCUAUGACACAAGCAACCACCAUACCCACUCCAUGACUAACCCAUACUCCUCCCCACCAUACCUUGUCACUUCCUUGUCCUUUUCACCUCACUCACAAGUCAUUCCCACAUUUUGAGAGCUGGACAUUCAUCCUCUCUCCUCAUUUUCUUCCACUUGCUCUCAUUUCACCAAAAAUACAACACAACUUUUCUCUCAAACUUUUUCUCUCUAUUUCAAGACUCCAAGGCUGAUUUUCAAGCUUUAUUCUUCUCUUGGUAAGUAUAAUUCAUCCUCCUUGUGAUUAUUACACUUGAUUCUACUCAAAUCAUUGAUUGCUUACACAAAUAUCGUCAUAUUUGUUGUUUAGCUCCUCAAAUCUUCAAGCAUCUCCUGAGUGUUCUUGAGUUGAACACUUCUUUUCUCAAUCAUCUAUCUUCUGAAAUCACUCAAGGUGAGUUCAUACCCCUAUAUUUUCACGUAUUCUCAAGUUUUUAGGGGGGAAUUCAAGUUAAAACACCAAGAACGUAACUAAACUUUUUCUAACAGCCUUCAUCAGAAAAGUUCAACUCGAUUCACGGACUGUUUUGGACAACUUAAAUAUUUUAGUUUUCAAAACUGUUUUAGGUGCAAGUCGCUCCACUUCUUAGCUUUAAAAUGACUACUUGCACAUCUCCACACGAUUUUUUUACAGUUUAUGGUGACUUUUACAAAACAACCUGUCUUUUCAAACACAAGUUCGGACCAGUCUAUGAAUAUGAGCAUUUUAAUACAAGUUAAAGGCUUCCAAAAAUCAUGAUAAAAAUUAUG